rnacentral:tRNA from 1 species
UGGCUCAGAGGUUAAAGCGUCUGCCUGGAAUGCAGGAGACCAGGGUUCGAUCCCUG